CACGUAGGGGGCAAGCGUUGUCCGGAUUCAUUGGGCGUAAAGAGCUCGUAGGCGGUUCGAUAAGUCGGGUGUGAAACCUCCAGGCUCAACCUGGAGACGCCACCCGAUACUGUCGUGACUAGAGUCCAGUAGGGGAGCGUGGAAUUCCUGGUGUAGCGGUGAAAUGCGCAGAUAUCAGGAGGAACACCAAUUGCGAAGGCAGCUCGCUGGGACGUUACUGACGCUGAGACGCGAAAGCGUGGGGAGCAAACAGG
rnacentral:rRNA from 1 species